GUAAAGGUGCUUGCUGGGGAAGCCUGACAACUCCAUUGAUCCCCAGAACCCAUAUAAAAAGCUAGAUACAGUGGCAAGCAUCAAUAAUCUCCUCCUGCUUCCAGAUGGGAGGAGACGACAGGAGGACCAUCUGGAAGCUCUCUGACCUGCUAGCCUGAAUUAGCUGCACAGCGCCAGACCCAGCCUAACAAGGUGGAAGACUCUGAAACCUCAGCCCCAGAGAGGGGACCUCUCCUGAUGACACACAGCCAGGCUCCGAGGCCACCGCCUUCACCCCUCCAAGUACCCAAGCACCCAAAGCAGUGUGUUGCUGACCGGGGCCUGCGGGCACUGCGGGUUGGAACUGUCACUGCGCGGCUCCGCCCCUCGCCGCCGAUAACCCCCACACCCGUCAAGCGACCAUCCCGCCCCGGAGCGGUAAGCUCGACGUGGUCUCAGCUGCAGCCACGCCCUCUGCAGGCCAGCCAGGGGCCUGCCCGCUGCGGCAUUGGCGGAGUUGUCCUUGUUCCACACCGCCCCUCCUAAGAGGAAGCCACGCCCCCUCAAUGGAGGGCACGCCCCCUAAGGGAUCGGCGGGGCCUGCGAGUCCCGGAAAGGGUGGAGCUGAAGUGUGGAGCUGCCUUUGUGUGGCUCCUCCCCUUCGGCGGAAGCCACGCCCCUUGACGGCGGCAGUUUCGCCCUCUGCAGCACAGCUGGGGCUGCAGAGCCUGCACUGCCACGCCCACCAUAAAACCCGCCUCUAACCCCGCCCCUUUCUCCCCCUCCUUUUCUGCCUUUCAUUCAUUAUCAGCUCUGCUUGGAAGCGCCAUGGCAGGGCUGUGAACUCGGAUGGGACCGCCCAGCAGGUUUCCUUGGAGAAGGCACCUCCUUAUACAGUCCUCCCCGAGCCUCUCUGGUCCAACCCACUGGAGUUAAACACCUAGGACCGACCCUGAGGAUGCCGGGGUUGGAGUGAGGGUGGGCGUGGGGAGUCAGUUGGGUCGAAGCAGGGUAGAAUAGAUAGAAAUGUAUUAUAUAGCUUAAGCGGUAGAGUGCUUGCCUAGCACGCUCCAAGCCCAUCUUCUGCACCACAUAAAUCCAGCAUAGGAUGCACGCCUAUAAUCAAUCCCAGGACUUCGGACGUGGAGAUAGAAGGAUCAGAAAUCCAAGACCAAAAACAAAAUAGGGAAGCUAUGGACUUGAGGGCAAAAGAGCCCCUUCUCCCAGAUUUUGAUCGAAACCUUUCAUCAGCUGAGACUCAAGAAUUCCAACACAAUUAAGACCAUUUGCUUAAGGGCUUUCUUUCACGGUUGUAAACGUACAAUUUUAUAGGAAUCUCUCUGGAAUUCCCCCUUUCAAUAAAAGGACAUGUUCUAAACUCCA